rnacentral:tRNA from 1 species
GCUCCUGUAGCCCAACUGGAAGAAGGUCACCAUCUUAAACAUGGUUUAGUGUGGGUUCAAAUCCCACCAGGAGCA